AGUUUGCUGCUGAUUCUUCCUUGUGUGGCCUUUUGAGGAGCCUCCUGGGGAAUUGGAGGAUUAAGACAUGCCACUAUGAGAAGAUUAUAGGAAAAACACCAAGACUAGAGGACUCUGGGUUCCUUUUAUGCAAAGUCAACUCUUCUGGGUCACAGUUACCCAGCAACAAAAAUAAAGAAUUUCCCCAUGGACUCCAGAUCCUUUACUACUGAACUCACAGGGCUGUAACACUGAUACUAUACAGAGAGGACCAGGACGAUGCCAUCACCCCGUUUAUCCUGAGUGAACUCUCCGGAGGCCUCUUCAAGCUUGUGGGUUCUCUGCUGUCUUGAAGCCAUCCAUCCAUUUGAUAGGUUUUGCAAAGACUUGGUCCUGCCAAGAUGGUUUUAAUCAUUUCUGCUAAAAGGAAUGGACUCGAGGAUUUGAUCUCAUUUUAGAUGCAGUUGUCCUCACUUGGCCAUUUUACAGCACUUUAGUAAAUAUGGCCAGUGUAUUUGGUCACUAUUAAAUCAAUCCCCAUUCAUUAUCUGUCAGGGCAACUCAGUGAACUAAAUACUAUGUUCUGACCUCUGGCACUCUUUCUCAUGUUGUUUAAAUAUUUAAUAUUGUCUAAGGCAAUUCAAGUAUUUUCUUAAAUAAAAAAUAUGAAAACUCA